AGGUUUCUCUCAAUUUUUUUUUAGCAAAUUAAAUUCAUGUUGAUUGCCUAGUUUCUCUUGCUUUUGUUGGGUUUUAUUGUUGCUGUGGUGCUGUUAAAUAUUGAGGUUAAGUUACCAGCAAGAUUGAAGAGAGAGAGAUAGCUUUUGUGUAUGCAUGCUAUAUGUUUGAUAAAAUGUCAAAAAUGGAAAAUCGAAUUAAAAUGUUAAUUUUGUACAUAUAUUGUUGUUAAAAUGAAUAAUCAUGACUAGUUAAUGGUUUGGAGAGGUUGUUUAAUUAAAGUUUUGUGUCGAUUUUGUAGUCUAAAAGGCAAAAAAUAUGAAUUUUAGGGGCUGUUUUGCUUUAAUUUAGCCCUUUUAUGUUGUUUUCUUAUCAAAUUAAAAUCAUAGUUGUAUUGUAAAAGCUGUAAGGAGUGUUGUAGUAUAAUUUUUAUGAUUUUUAGUGAAGAAUAUGGUGUUUUGAAAAAAUAAAAAAUGGGCUGUCUUUUACUAUUUUCGCCACUUUUGGUUCUUUUUUUGUAAGAACUAAGCACAAAAAUGGAAUCCACGUGAAAAAUCAAAUGAGGGGGUGUAUUGUGAGAAAAUUUGGUGACCGGAAAAUUUGCCGGCGUCCGGUAGCGGUCCGGCGGUGGCGCUGCCAGAGGCGGCCAUGGCCGCCAGCAGGAAGAAGCUUUAGCUACUCGAGUGGAAGAAGAAGAAAGAAGAAGAAGAAGAAGAGAAAGAAAAAGAAAGAAAAGAAAAAAUGAAUGGGCUAAUGUUUUUUUUUUCUAGUGGGCUUGUGAUUAUUUUGGUUGGUUCCUAGGAAUGGAUUUUGGUUUAUUUCUUUUGGGUUUCGGCUUGGGAUAGGAGGCCAAAGUCCAUACAUUUUUUGUUUGGGCUUGAGUGAUAAAAGAUUUGGCUGGACUGUUUGCUUCCCUUGGACUUUCGGCUGGGCUUAGAGAUUUUGGCCCAAAGACACAAAAUGAUGGCCCAAUGGCCUGUUUUUCUUAAGAAGAUCUUAUGCGAAUUUGCACUUUAGCCCCUGAUCAUUGGAGUAGCUUUACUGUGUCUCAGAAAAUUUUAAAUUUCU
rnacentral:lncRNA from 1 species